rnacentral:rRNA from 1 species
UACGUAGGGGGCUAGCGUUGUCCGGAAUCAUUGGGCGUAAAGAGCGUGUAGGCGGUCCGGUAAGUCCGUUGUGAAAGUCAGGGGGCUCAACCCUUGAAUGCCGGCGGAUACUGUCGGGCUAGAGUCCGGAAGAGGCAAGUGGAAUUCCCGGUGUAGCGGUGAAAUGCGCAGAUAUCGGGAGGAACACCUAUGGCGAAGGCAGCUUGCUGGGACGGUACUGACGCUGAGACGCGAAAGCGUGGGGAGCAAACAGG